CCUUGCCUGCCUCCCUGCAUCAUGUUGCUUCGUCGCCGCCGCCUCUGGUCUAUGAUUUCUCUAUUUCUCCCACCAUCUUUAUAUGUGACUGAUUUAUUUUUAUUUUUUUUAGCGCUCCAAUUUCUUUCGUUUAGUCUUACUCCCCCCCCCCCCCCGGGGGUUUCCUCCCUAAAUUGAAGCCCAAUGAUGCACAAAUCGACCUCCAUUGAGCAGUUUUCUGCGGUUCCAGUUCUUUACUUGCCUUCUCUUGCCGCUGCGAUUCUCUCUCUCUCUCUCUCUUUCUUUCCUUCUUUCUCUUCUCACACACACACGCACGCACACACGUUUUGCGGUGGGUUUUGAAGGCAUUUGAUGAACGCCGCUAGCUUUAAACUGUGAAUGAUUCAUCAAAGCUAUGAGAUCUGAGGGCAUUUAGUGUGAUUUAUACAUUUGUGAUUUUUUGAGUUCUAUUUGACAUCAGCUUGUUCAUUUGUUGUUUUUAGGCUUGUUUUAUGAUUGUUUUGAAAGUCCGAAUUGGAGUGGAUGAUGUUGCAUCCGUGCUCUGAGCGGUUUAUUUCUUUCCUUCUCUCUCUCUCUCUCUCUCUCUCUCUCUCUCUGUUUUUUUUUUUGGGUGCACUGUUGAUGGAAAUGCAGCCUAGAAAGCUAUUUCUAACCUCCCCUUGCAAGUUCUGUCAGCUACAUCUGUUGAACUCUCUGCAUUGACAUCAAGAUAAUCUGAGGUGGGUAUGCCCUUAUAAAAGAAACCAGUGAGAUUCUGAAAUACGAGAGCUUUGUUGGAUCUCUGCAUUUGUGGUUGUGGCAACCUUGAUUCUAGAAUGUAUUCAUGUUUUCUAUUUGCAUUAAUUUCUUUACUUGCUCUUCCAUUUUUCUAUUGGCUCUGAUGCCCAGUGAUGCACGAAUUAAACCAUAUUGAGCAAUUUUCAAUGGUUUCAGUUCUCCAUUUGUCUAUCCGGGCCACUGCUUUCUCUCUCUCUCUCUCUCUCUCUCUCUCUAUCUAUCUAUCUAUCUAUACUCACACGCACACACUCACUCACUGUUUUGUGGUGGUUUGUGAAGGCAUUUGAUGAACGGCGCUGUUGUUAAAUUGUGGAUGAUCAAUCAAAGCUAUGAGAUCUGAGGGCAUUUUUGUUUUUUGGUUGUGUUUGAUGUUACUGUGUAUUUGUUGUUUUGGGGCUUCUUUUUUGAUUGUUUUAGAGGUUACAAGUUGUAUGAAUGGUGAUAAGGGCACUGCGCUUUGAGCAUUGAAAUUCACAACCUUGACGGUUUUUCAUGACUCCUUCUGCUAUCUGUUAAGCUGCACGACUCAUUCAACCUAUCAAGUUACAUGCAUGUAAUUAUAAUGGGAUUUUCGUACAUUGAUGAUUGGUAUCAUUUAGUUUCACAUUGUACAUCGUGCUCUUACUUCAGGACGGUAUCUAGUAUGUUAUAUUUGCAUCUGUCCCAUGGUGGAGUUGACAUUCUGUAUGACAGUAUCAACCACCAUGGCUAUUAGUUUUUUAGUUCAGUAUAGAGGCACAAACCAUUCUUUGGACUUUUGGAUGGUUAUAAAUGAGACGCUGCAGAUGUGAACUGGGAUGGCCUUUUAAGCCUGCUCACAGCCCAUUUUCCAACCAUUUCCGUUUGGGGAUUUUGGUCCUCUUUUGUGCCUCUUUUUUCUCCCCAAGAAAACAAAAACAUACUGCUUUAUUUCA